AACCCAUGGUGAGGGCACCUUCUCAAUAGAUCUCUCCCAUGCAUCAUAAAGUGUUUCUAAAUCCAUCUACACAAAAGAAGAGAUAUCAUUCCUUAAUUU
rfam:Gossypium hirsutum cultivar TM-1 chromosome 23, whole genome shotgun sequence